GAUGAACGCUAGCGGCAGGCCUAACACAUGCAAGUCGAGGGGUAGAGGCUUUCGGGCCUUGAGACCGGCGCACGGGUGCGUAACGCGUAUGCAAUCUGCCUUUCACAGAGGGAUAGCCCAGAGAAAUUUGGAUUAAUACCUCAUAGCAUAACACAACCGCAUGGUUGAGUUAUUAAAGUCACAACGGUGAAAGAUGAGCAUGCGUCCCAUUAGUUAGUUGGUAAGGUAACGGCUUACCAAGACUUCGAGGGGUAGGGGUCCUGAGAGGGAGAUCCCCCACACUGGUACUGGGACACGGACCAGACUCCUACGGGAGGCAGCAGUGAGGAAUAUUGGUCAAUGGGCGCAAGCCUGAACCAGCCAUGCCGCGUGCAGGAUGACGGUCCUAUGGAUUGUAAACUGCUUUUGUACGAGAAGAAACACUCCUUCGUGAAGGAGCUUGACGGUAUCGUAAGAAUAAGGAUCGGCUAACUCCGUGCCAGCAGCCGCCGUAA
rnacentral:rRNA from 1 species